rnacentral:rRNA from 1 species
GAUGAACGCUAGCGGCAGGCUUAAUACAUGCAAGUCGUACGGGAUCCGAGGUAGCAAUACUUUGGUGAGAGUGGCGCACGGGUGCGUAACACGUAUGCAACCUACCUAUAACCGGGACACAACCUCGAGAAAUUGUGGCUAAUAUCCCAUAACACUGCGAAAUGGCAUCAUUUUGCAGUUAAAACUCCGGUGGUUAUAGAUGGGCAUGCGCGACAUUAGCUAGUUGGUGAGGUAACGGCCCACCAAGGCUACGAUGUCUAGGGGUUCUGAGAGGAUCAGCCCCCACACUGGGAAUGAGACACGGACCAGACUCCGACGGGAGGCAGCAGUAAGGAAUAUUGGUCAAUGGGCGCAAGCCUGAACCAGCCAUGCCGCGGGAAGGAUGACGGCCCUAUGGGUUGUAAACUUCUUUUGUACGGGAAAAAACCACCGGUCGUGUAUCGGUGCUGAUGGUACCGUAAGAAUAAGCAUCGGCUAACUCCGUGCCAGCCGCCGCCGUAA